GGGAGAAAGCUGGUAUGCGUGGUCAGCUUCGUGUUUGUGGUACCUUCUGUCUUUACCCUGUUAUGCUUACAUAUUGCCAGUCUUAGCUAUUUUGUUUCUGGCUUGAUGAACACAUAGAUUAUUCAUCAAUUUAACCACUAGUGAACUCUAACCAGAAAAUAUGUUUCAUCUGCACAAUCGUUCAAAUUUCAUACAAUUUCAGAUGUCCAAAUCAGAGUGUUGCAAAACGGGGAACGCGCCGAUCCAGGAUGAGAUAGCAUCAUUGCCAGGAGCCGUCUCAGGGCCCACACGGAUGGCUGAACAAUCAAUUAACCAUCAGUUAAACAAAGGCCUUUUGGUGGUGAUGUUCUCGUACUCUCCCAAUGCCACGUGGUGAAUUGUUUGCCUGUCUUAUCAAUGGCCGGCUGACGUGACGUUUUAUGAACUCUAGCAGCAACCGACAGGAGGAUGCAAGCCUAAAGGCAGGCGCCUCUCUUGUAGGGCGAUAGUGAGACAUCGACACAUGGAAGCUCCUGCUGACUGCAUUCAGGAUAAGAUUACAAGAACGAAGAGGAUGUCCAUUAUUAUUUUGCUACGCUGCAGCAGCCCAUGUACGCUGCCAACUGAAACUACAACAAGUGUGGCAGGAGGUGCUCGUUGUUUGCUUGGCCAGGUACAUUGGAGCUGUAGAUAAUAUAGAAUGCUGUUCACAGCAGUGUCGUGGAGGCACGGCGUCGUCGUCCCGGUGCAGCAAGGCUCGGAAACUGGCUGCUGUGGUGCAAACUUCAGUACUGUACUUGUCGGGAGAUCUCUGGCGAAAAAAAAUUGUAGCUAUGGCUGAAACUCUGAAUGUGACUUUCACUAUCCUUGUUUGGGUGCUUGCUAAAAUGGCAGUCUCCUGGCUGGAACUUGGUUUAACGGAUGUCAUGUAGCAGUGCUCGUUGAA